rnacentral:rRNA from 1 species
GCUACUGCUAUUGGGGUUCGGCUAAGCCAUGCGAGUGGAGGGCGUUCCCGCAAGGGAUGGCCCCGCAGACGGCUCAGUAACACGUCGUCAACCCACCUUAGGGUGGGGGACAACCUCGGGAAACUGAGGAUAAUCCCCCAUAGGCGGGGGAGGCUGGAAUGCGCCCCCGCUGAAAGCUCAGGCGCCCCAGGACGGGACGGCGGCCUAUCAGGUAGUUGGUGGUGUGACG